GGGGAAUCUUCCGCAAUGGGGCGCAAGCCUGACGGAGCAACGCCGCGUGAGUGAAGAAGGUCUUCGGAUUGUAAAGCUCUGUUGAGAGGGACGAGAGAUAUAAUCAGGAAAUGGGUUAUAGAGGACGGUACCUUUCGAGGAAGCCACGGCUAACUCCGUGCCAGCAGCCGCGGUAAUACGGAGGAUGCGAGCGUUAUCCGGAUUUAUUGGGUUUAAAGGGUGCGCAGGCGGCGCGCCAAGUCAGCGGUCAAAGUUCCGGGCUCAACCCGGUGUCGCCGUUGAAACUGGCGUGCUCGAGUGCGUGCGAGGAAGGCGGAAUGCGUUGUGUAGCGGUGAAAUGCAUAGAUAUGACGCAGAACUCCGAUUGCGAAGGCAGCUUUCCAGCGCGCUACUGACGCUGAGGCACGAA
rnacentral:rRNA from 1 species